rnacentral:tRNA from 3 species
GGGCCCGUAGCUCAGCUGGGAGAGCGUUGCAAUGGCAUUGCAAAGGUCGUCGGUUCGAUCCCGAUCGGGUCCACCA